rnacentral:rRNA from 1 species
GAUGAACGCUGGCGGUGUGCCUAAUACAUGCAAGUCGAGCGAACAGACGAGGAGCUUACUCCUCUGACGUUAGCGGCGGACGGGGGAGUAACACGUGGAUAACCUACCUAUAAGACUGGGAUAACUUCGGGAAACCGGAGCUAAUACCGGAUAACAUUUUGAACCGCAUGGUUCAACAGUGAAAGACGGUCUUGCUGUCACUUAUAGAUGGAUCCGCGUCGCAUUAGCUAGUUGGUAAGGUAACGGCUUACCAAGGCAACGAUGCGUAGCCGACCUGAGAGGGUGAUCGGCCACACUGGAACUGAGACACGGUCCAGACUCCUACGGGAGGCAGCAGUAGGGAAUCUUCCGCAAUGGGCGAAAGCCUGACGGAGCAACGCCGCGUGAGUGAAGAAGGUCUUCGGAUCGUAAAACUCUGUUAUUAGGGAAGAACAAAUGUGUAAGUAACUAUGCACGUCUUGACGGUACCUAAUCAGAAAGCCACGGCUAACUACGUG